CUUCGGUGUUGAUGGCGACCGGCGAACGGGUGCGUAACACGUAUGUAAUCUGCCUCGUACAGGAUAAUAGCUUCUGGAAACGGAAAUUAAUGGUCCAUAUUAUACUUAACUCGCAUGAGUUUAGUAUGAAAGCUCCGGCGGUGCGAGAUGAGCAUGCGUCCUAUUAGUUUGUUGGUGAGGUAACGGCUCACCAAGGCGAUGAUAGGUAGGGGUUCUGAGAGGAAGAUCCCCCACACUGGCACUGAGAUACGGGCCAGACUCCUACGGGAGGCAGCAGUAGGGAAUAUUGGGCAAUGGGCGCAAGCCUGACCCAGCCAUGCCGCGUGCAGGAUUGAAGGUCCUUAGGAUUGUAAACUGCUUUUUUAUGGGAGCAAUAAGUUUUUGUAAAAACCCAUGAGAGUACCAUAAGAAUAAGCACCGGCUAACUCCGUGCCAGCAGCCGCGGUAAUACGGAGGGUGCAAGCGUUAUCCGGAUUUAUUGGGUUUAAAGAGUACGUAGGCGGCUAAGUAAGUCAAUGGUGAAAUCCAGCAGCUCAACUGUUGAACUGCCAUUGAUACUGUUUGGCUUGAGUGCUAUCGAGGUAGGCGGAAUUCCACAUGUAGUAGUGAAAUGCAUAGAUAUGUGGAGGAACACCGAUAACGAAGGUAGCUUACUAGGUAGUAACUGACGCUGAGGUACGAAAGCGUGGGGAGCGAACGGGAUUAGAGACCCCGGUAGUCCACGCCGUAAACGAUGGUCACUCGAUGUUUAUUCAUUAGAAUAAGUGUCUAAGCGAAAGCGUUAAGUGACCCACCUGGGGAGUACGCUCG
rnacentral:rRNA from 1 species